rnacentral:rRNA from 1 species
UCCGUAGGGUGCGAUCGUUAAUCGGAAUUACUGGGCGUAAAGCGUGCGCAGGCGGUCUUUUAAGCCAGAUGUGAAAUCCCCGGGCUUAACCUGGGAACUGCGUUUGGAACUGGAAGGCUAGAGUACGGCAGAGGGGGGUGGAAUUCCACGUGUAGCAGUGAAAUGCGUAGAGAUGUGGAGGAACACCGAUGGCGAAGGCAGCCCCCUGGGCCUGUACUGACGCUCAUGCACGAAAGCGUGGGGAGAAAACAGG